UGUGUGUGAGUGUGUGUGUGUGUGUGACAGAGAGAGAGACAGAGAUACUCCAGUCGGCUCUCUUGGGAAGAAACAAUCCACCGGCUGCCAUCUGAUCUCAUUCACUUGGGAAUAUUGAUGCGUAUUGAUCAGAAAGGAUACUUUGAUCCCGGGGAAACUUUCUGCAGCAUCCGAGGACUCAGGCUACUCGCUUUUUUUAUUAUCCGGAUAAAAUGGUGAUAAUAAGGCAGCUGACACCCCCCUGCCUUCAUUCAUAAGCGGUGACAAGUCGUGUGGUGUCUCGGAUGUGCGACAGAGGAGCGCACAUCAGGCACACGGUGUCCCUUCAACACACAGAGGCUCCACGGGACGGCAGCUGCGGGAGGAAUACAAAUUACACGCGUGAAAGAAAAGCGUCCGACAGCAAGAAUGAGUCAAGCUGCCGGUGUGGAGACUUAAAACACCAGAAGAAGAGGAGUUAGUGUGUUCUGUCAGGGGCCAGAUAAUAUCAGUGUGUGUGUGCGUGUGUGUGAUCUGUGACUGUAAAGGAGGAAGGAUGACGGUCAAACUGGACUUUGAGGAGUGUUUGAAAGACUCUCCGCGCUUCAGAGCUGAAAUCGAAGAUGUCCAAAGCGACGUGAGCGAACUCGAGACGCGAUUAGAAAAGCUUGUGAAACAAUGCCAGGCCAUGCUGGAUGCGGGCAGAGCCUACUGCCAGACCAGCAAGAGCUUCGUCAGCGGCCUCCGGGACCUUGGACAGCAGUACUCCGGGGACAAGAUGAUGGAGGAGUGUUUGGAUAAAUUUUCCAAAAAGCUUGCAAUCAUCUUGGACGCACAGGGGGACUUGAUCGAGACCACGCAGAAGUCAGUCAAGACGAAGCUGCAGAACUUUGUCAAAGAGGAUUGUCGUCGGUUCAAGGACGUGCGCAAGGAGUUUGAGCGCGGCAGCGAAAACCUGGAGGGGGCGCUGGUGAGGAACGCUCAGGCCCCGCGGGGGAAACAACACGAAGUGGAGGAGGCGAGCAAUGCUCUGCUCAAUGCACGCAGGGCCUUUCGGGCUGAGGCCCUGGAUUACGUUCUGGAGAUUAAUGUCAUCGAGGCCAAGAAGAAGACCGACAUCCUGAUGGCAAUGCUGAAUUUGAUGGAGGCCCAGGCCCAGCUCUUCCAACAUGGCCACCAGUCUCUCUCAGAACUGGACGAGUAUCGACGUAAGCUGAGUGAGGAGCACACUCAGUUUGUCCUAAACUCUGCUCGGGAGAAGAGGGACAUGGAGCAAAGACACGCUGCAAUCAAGAAAAAGGACGUGUCCUACGAUGACUCCAUCAUGGAUUUCAACGCUGACGCAGCUAAUGGGAUCGCCAUGGAGGGAUACCUUUACAAGAGAGCCAGCAACGCCUUCAAGACCUGGAGCAGGCGUUGGUUUUCAAUUCAAAAGAAUCAGCUGGUGUAUCAGAAGAAGUUCAAGGACCAGCCUACAGUUGUGGUGGAGGACUUGCGUCUGUGCACGGUGAAGCCCAGCACUGAAAACGAGAGGCGGUUCUGCUUUGAAGUGGUGUCCCCGUCAAAGUGUUGUUUGUUGCAGGCGGACUCAGAGAGGCAGCAGCAGGCGUGGAUCAGCGCCGUCCAAAACAGCAUCGCCUCAGCCUUUCAGGAGCACAGAGAGGACCCACACAGCCCACGGCUGCGCUGCAGCUCGGUGUCUGCGAGCAGUAUGAUAGGAGGUGGGGGAGGAGGAGGAGGAGGUGGAGGAGCGGAUCAGGAAAACAAGGGCUGCAAGGCGCUGGAGGAGGUCCAGGCCAUCCCGGGGAACAAGCAGUGCUGCGACUGCGGGGAGCCUGGUCCCGAUUGGGCCUCCAUCAACCUGGGCAUCACACUUUGCAUCGUCUGCUCAGGGAUACACAGGAGCCUGGGAGUUCAUUUCUCCAAAGUGCGCUCACUCACUCUCGACUCCUGGGAGCCAGAGCUCAUUAAGUUGAUGUGUGAAUUAGGAAACACGGUGAUCAACAGGAUCUACGAGGCCCGGAUUGAUGAGAUCACCAUCAAGAAGCCCCACCCCUCCAGUCCCAGAGGAGACAAGGAGUCCUGGAUCCGAUCAAAGUACGUCGAAAAGAAGUUCAUCCAAAAGCUGCCAGAGACUGGCAGGAACGCCCCGCUGAGGCGAUCCAGCGCCAGGAGGAACCGAGCGGGCACGCAGGACAAAACUGCGCAACGGCCGCCGCUAAAGCCCAAACCGAACCGGGCCACUCUGCCUCGGGUCACAGGACUGAGCCCCAGUGACUUUGUCCAACAAAACAAUACACACAAAGAUGUGGAGGAAGAAGAGGAUCUGAGCGGACUUCACCCUGGGGCACUGCUCUACCGCUCCGCAGCCCUGCAGAACUUCCCCGUCAUGGCCGACGCUUUGGCCCAUGGAGCCGACGUCAACUGGGUCAAUGUGGCCGAAGAGUCCAGCACACCGCUGAUACAGGCUGUCUCAGCGAAUGCCCUAGCAGCCUGCGAGUUCCUGCUGCAGAACGGCGCUAAUGUCAACCAGGCAGACAGCAACGGGAGAGGACCGCUGCACCACGCCACCAUCCUGGGCCACACCGGGUUGGUUUGUCUCUUCUUGAAGCGAGGAGCAGACUACAACGCCAAAGACAAGAACCAGAAAGACCCCAUUACCAUUGCUGUGGAGGCCGCCAACGCUGACAUCGUCACUUUGCUGCGGAUCGCCAAAAUGAACAAGGAGAUGCGGGAGAUGGACGGAGCGUUUGGCCAAUCAGGUCAAUCGGGGGGGCAGGGGUCUGGGGGUUUAUUGGGCGGGACGGGAGGUGGGCGGGCCCACACCAGGAAGAGCCUCCAGGCGAUCAAGAACCACAUAAGUGGCUGGGCUCUGGGGGGGCAGAAUGAUUAGCGGGGGAUUAAUAAACAUCAGCUCAGGACAGAGACAGGCAGCGGGGCUGAGACGGGCUUGUUUUUGGUGGAGCUAAAUGGAACCAGACAUGUUUUUGUCUAAGUUGUUAAGCGUUAGAAAUCACUGGUUUUGCAGUGUCGUGUGGUGUUUAUCUGCAGCAUCUGCAGGGAAAUGAUCCCAGCCUUUCACAUCGUUUGAGGAAACAUGCGUCAUCACUUCUAAGAUUUAAAAAAAAAAAAAAGAAAAAAGGGAGAAAGACAAAGAAAAAGAAGCAGAUCACAGGGUACGGCAGUUCAUAUACUGUGUAGAAAAGACAGGAAAUGUCUUGUGAAACAAAGUAGGAGAGGUCCACAUUGCACUUUGAAUUACAAACGCACAUCACCCUGCACUUUGAAACCCACAAAUCUCUGAAUACCUUGUCAAUAACGAGCUACAUGUGGGUGUUUCCUAUGUUGUAUAACAGGGAAUGUAUAUAUAAGAGACCUAUAUCUGGUCUGUUUUAUAUUUGGGAUCUUUUUGUAUAACUCUGUACAGUGUUGUGGCUUUAUCAGAUUUUAUUGUGUGUUGGACUUUUUCAGUCCAGUUACGUAAGCUACGUUCAAUGUCAGGUGUGGUUCUCAAGGACGUUUUUUUAUGCCGCUAUUCUGUGAAUAGUUUGAACUCCUGUUUGUGUUUAUCAGGAUUUAAGAGCUCCGUGCUGCAGCUCUUGAGCUUAACAGUGGGUUUUGUUUGCAUUUUGUCAUUUGGCUCCUUCUCAAGCUGCAAAGUCCACUCCUUCAUGAUUGUCCUUCAGUGGCUAUCGAGGCUUUUUGUUAAGGUCUCUUGUGUGUUCUCAUGAAGGAAUGGAAACGUGAUGCUUUUGUCUGCUUGAAAAACCAACUGCUGGUCAGUAUUUGACGUGCUGUGCUUUAUCACUGUGUCUUGUUGUUUUGUGUGCACUCAUGUGUCUUUUGCCUUCCGCCCUGCUGAGAUGCCCGGCUGGUCUCUACUGCUUGUGCAGUGUGCCACCUACUGCAAACUGAGAGGUGAUGAAACCUACCACGACAUCUUCAGAGACUUUUCACACAUGGCCUCAAACAACCCCGAAAAGCUCAAACGCCGCAGCGCAGACCCCAAAACCUAACCAGCCAUUGCCUCCUCUUCACCCCCGCUGUACAACGCCACAUUUCACACCCAGCCCUGCACACUCUCACACAUAUAUAGAAAAACAUGCUAGUCCGACUCACACACACACACACAUUUUCCCCUGGCUACCUGCCACAUGUUCAGUCAUAGCUCAGCUGGUGUUGACUUCAGAGAGGACGAACGCUCCAGACAGUGAAUUCUUUGUGGGAACACGUCAGAGCACAACAAUGGCGUCUGAGUGGGAACACUGGAGCAGCUUUAUGAGACCAGCAUGAGGUGUCUUUAUGUGUAGCAGAGGGCAGCACCAUCACUCUGCCAAGAUUUCUUAAUUAAAUCUGGUAAAUCUGUUUUUUUUUUUUAGUCUCGAAACAGGCAGUGUUUUUAUUUCCCUCUGCCGUUUCCAUUGAGUUAAACCUUUUUGUCUUCCAUUGUCAUGUAAACAUAUUUUUACAUUUGGGACAUUUUUCUUAUUAUUGUUAAAGUCUGUUUUGUUAAACUGUGUGAGGUACUUGACAUUUGCAUCCUGAUCAAAUAAACCGCAUUACAAAACCAA